AGAUUGAACGCUGGCGGCAGGCCUAACACAUGCAAGUCGAGCGGUAGAGAGGUGCUUGCACCUCUUGAGAGCGGCGGACGGGUGAGUAAAGCCUAGGAAUCUGCCUGGUAGUGGGGGAUAACGCUCGGAAACGGACGCUAAUACCGCAUACGUCCUACGGGAGAAAGCAGGGGACCUUCGGGCCUUGGCGCUAUCAGAUGAGCCUAGGUCGAUUAGCUAGUUGGUGAGGUAAUGGCUCACCGAAGGCGACGAUCCGUAACUGGUCUGAGAGGAUGAUCAGUCACACUGGAACUGAGACACGGGUCCAGACCUCCGUACGGGAGGCAGCAGUGGGAAUAGUUGGACAAGUGGGACGAAAGCCUGAUCCAGUCCAGUCGCCGCGUGUGUAGAAGAAGUCGUU
rnacentral:rRNA from 1 species